AACAUAAGAACAUUACUUGCAAAGCUGACCUUCUCGCAGAAGUGCAUUAAGAAGCGGACGCAAGCAGCAGCAUCGAUGGGGCGCCUCAAGGCGGACUGCUUCUAGAGCAUUCCAGGGGCCACAAAGUCUCACGACCACGUAAAAUACGUUGAUCACGGACGCAAACAGCUGAAAACCAAUUGUAAAAGUGCACCAGAUUGAUCAGGGCCUGGGCAUGGCGCGCUCGGUCUCAAGGCCCUCAACACGUGUGUGGCGCAAGACCUGUCCGUAUCGCCCUUCUUGCCUAACAAAAAUCACAAUGCACAUUCCCAGGGUGUUCUUAAGGUCAUCCGAAGGCCUGUGGCCUUGCAUGCAGAUGCACUUGUCCCAAGAGAAACUACUCACGACGGCCCACGGUCUGGAACGGGUCACGAGAAAAGCCUUUUGCGGGCCAGGAAGAUGACCCCACUCAUGAGCAUUCAAGAAAACAAAAUUUGCCUAUACUUUUAAAAAGACAUGCCUCGUCCCAAUCAGCAGCUGCUGCAAGGCCUUUGACAAGGAUCCGCUGCCUUUUGGAGUGAGUAACGUGUGAGAAGGAGAUCGUCGUCGUACCUGCUCGCGGCUUCCGCCCGGUCUCACCUCCUUCGUGAGUCUGCGAUCUCACUGGCCUUAAGAAAGCCAGUUUUCCGCCGCCCAGUGCAGAAUAUUUAAUAGAG
rnacentral:lncRNA from 1 species